rnacentral:lncRNA from 1 species
CAGAACUUUAAUGGUGUUUGGGGUGUUGGGAUUACAGGUGACUUUUAUUUCCAUCUUUCCUUGUUUUCUUUGUUUAGCUUAUUUGGGUUUUCUAAACUGCCUCUCAUCACUGUGUACAAUUUUCAUAAUUGGUCAAAAAAGAAAAAGAAACAACUGUUAGGAAAGAAUGGAGGGACAGCUGAAGGCGUAUCCGCAGCUCUACCGCACCUAGAGGAGCAGGGCCUCCAGCCCGAGGAGCGGCCAGGCCCUUAUUUAGGCAGAGACGUCCCGAGCUCGCAUUCCAGUGGGAAUCCUCCCCGGCGCAUUCCUCCUCCAGCGCCGCCUCUUCCAGCUGCAGCCGCUCCCUCUCCCAGGGCCUCCCUCUCCUUUGGUAGCCGCCGCGGCCGAGCCAGACUGCGCAUCUGGACCUCAUUAGGGGCCGCCAGCACCAAAGCCGACACAUCUGGCCGCCGCGAGGCGAGUGCGCGGCAGGGCAGCGGAGGGGAAGGGGCACGUCAGGACAGGGCCGCCCGGCGCGCGCCGAGGCAUCUGGAAGUGGGAAGGCGGUGGGCAGCUGGCCGCAGACACUGCGCUGCCGGCUGGGCUGGCCCUGGCCUGGGAGCCCAGUGGCAUAGUGUCCUUGCUGGCAGGGGAGCCUGCGGCCCCCAGAGGCCUCCCACGCUGGGGGGGCGGGCAGGCCCGGGGAAAGGCAGGGACUCUGGACUCCAUGCACAGUGCUCGUGAUCUCAGUGAGGCGUGACGCUGGCUCCUGUGGGCCUGUCAGGAUGGGGAGCAGAGGGCAGCGUCGGGACCCGCUGCAAAGAAGGAAUGGCCAGUAACGGGGAUUGCCUCGGCUUGUUGUGGCCAAGCCUUACGGUGGUGGAGCUUUGGGGCGCAGGUCGGAGGCUGUCUUCUCCAUCACGUUUAUAGAAAAAUCGCAGAGAUCGUACAGAGAGUUCCAGCAAACCUUUCAUCCAACUUCUCCCGAGGUUAACAUCUUGCAUAACCAGGUCCGGGUGUGACCUCCUGCAUUCCUAACAAGUUCCCGGUUGCUGUUGGACUCCACUUUGAGGAGUAAGGGGCUAGGGGACAGGUGGGAAUACAGAGUUGAAUAAGACUCAACCCCUGCUGUCAUCACUCAUGUAUGCAAGCUCUCUAUGUACCUGAUGCGGAGGUGGGUACUAUUAUUAUCCUCAUUUGACACAUGAGGAAACAAACACAGAGAGGUUAAGUAACUUGCCCAAGGGCACACAGCUCAGAAGUGGCAGAGCUGGGAUUUGAACCUGAUGAGCCUGGCUGCAGAGUUCACGCUGUUAACUACUCCACACUACACAAAUUGGAGAGAUGGACCUGUCGGUGCAGUGCGAUGAGACAAUCAUGGCAGGCAGGACUGGCAAUCCUGGAGCACUCAGAGGAGGGCUGGGCUCCUUUGUAGCACAUGGUGGAUUUUCAGAAUAAAUGGAAUGCUCCCCUCG